AUUUGAAACAACUUCAAAACCUUCAAACAGUGGAAGAGAGACCUGCAAAUGACACACAACAGAGAAAACCCUGGAGGCUGGAGGACUGGUCCUCACUGUCUCAGCUGCCAAAUUCAUUUAUGAGAAUUGUCCCCUGUGCAGAGCUCCAUUAUGCAUACAGAACAAUUUAUGAAGAUUUCUGUGAUCUUUGGGAUCUUUUCUGAGGUGUCAUGACACAGAUAGCUUUAUUAAUAAAUUUCUGCCACUUCUGGCUUCCCAGUCUACUUAUCACGUAUUAUUGUAUUUCUCUUGUCUUGUUGUAUUGUCUUGUCUUAUUGUAAUCCAAUACUUGUUUUAUUCGUAGAAGUGAAAUGCAAAUGACAUUUUAAUCUGAAAUAUAGAAACAGCUAAAAAUGACUUUGUGAAAGCAAAGGUCCCAGGCAGCUUCUAUGACAGCUCAUGUCCAAAACAAGAGGAUAAAAAGAGGGUCUGAGAGAUCAUAGAAACUAAUGCAUGGCUGAUGUUGCAAGUAAAAAAAAAACAGUUCCUGUGACACAAGUUGGUGGAUUACAGCCCACAUAACCACUGCCUAUUUUAAUGAUUAUUAAUGAUUGAAAGUAAUUUUGGCUAUUUAAAUGCAAGUAAACUGACUGAAGUUCCUUCAUUCAUUUUUUCCCAAAGGGACAAAUUCAAGCCUUAAUUUAUCUCCCACAAGAGAACACAAGUCUCAAAGCUGUAGAAACUAUAAGUGCUUUGAACCAGCCCUCUCUCCAAGGGUUAGUAGGAAGUCAAGAUGUUGGAGGUGCAAACUGUGGAUCUGGAAGAGAGAAAUGCCUAGAGGUUGGUGUUCCUGUGAUGCUCCAAGGCCGCUGUAGCAUCCACUGACCUUUCCAUAUGUGGUCUGAAGUCAAGAAGCACAUCUCCACUGCAGCCAUUCCACUCCUGCCUGGCUGGUUUCAUCUAAUUUCAGAGUAAGCAUAGAUUGUUUGGCUCAUACAUUUUAGUUCCCUGUCUGUCUGCAAGGGGAAAUCAGCUCCUGCUGCCUUGGCCCCUGUCAUUUUGGUUUGUCAUCAUGGAGCCUCCUCCAGCUGCUACACCAGUGCACCCAGCUCCUUCAGAGCUGGGCUCUUGGCUUACACAGCACUUGCUUUGACCACAGAUCCCAGGGUUCCCCAGCUGCUUUUCAUAGCUCCUCGCUCACGUUGACCUUGGACUUCAAAUUCUUCACGGCUGUUGAAGUACAGUCAUCAGAGAAACUGAGAGAGAAGCCUCCUUUUAUUUUCAUCACUUCAACAAGAAAAGUCAUCCAAGAGACACAUUACUAGUCCCUUGUAUUUUUGAUCUGCCACUGAUCUGCUGGAGACCUGACCUUUCUCUGCCUCAUCUGGCUUUCUUCUCUGCCUUGUCUGGUCAUGCUGUGGGCAGCAGAAGGCUUUUGAUGACCUUAGUUAUCAUUUUAAGACUUUUCAUGUUCUUAGGUUUUGAUAGAUAUGUCCUUAAAAAUCCUGCUUAAAAACCACAGGAAAUUAAUUACUUUAAGGAAAGGAUUUGGAGUGUGUAGAAUAUUUUGUUAGAAAGAGAAAACAGCUGCUUUUUCAGUACAAGUAUGAAGUCAAUGUGAAGUGUCAGAUGUGAAAUUUAGAAAGAUUUUUUUAUCUACUUCAUGUGAAUCAU
ensembl:lncRNA